rnacentral:rRNA from 1 species
GCGAUUCGCCCUUCGGGGUGCCCAGGCGCGAAAACUUUGCAAUAAGCGAAAGCUUGACAGGGCUAUCCCGAGUGCCAUCCGCUGAGGAAGGCUUUUACCCAGUCUAGAACGCUGGGGGAAUAAGGAGAGGGCAAGUCUGGUGUCAGCCGCCGCGGUAAUACCAGCUCUCCGAGUGGUGUGGAUGUUUAUUGGGCCUAAAGCAUCCGUAGCUGGCUAAGUUAGUCCCUUGUUAAAUCCACCGAAUUAAUCGUUGGAUUGCGGGGGAUACUGCUUGGCUAGGGGACGAGAGAGGCAGACGGUAUUUUCGGGGUAGGGGUGAAAUCCUAUAAUCCCGGGAAGACCACCAGUGGCGAAGGCUGUCUGCUAGAACGCGCCCGACGGUGAGGGAUGAAAGCUGGGGGAGCGAACCGGAUUAGAUACCCGGGUAGUCCCAGCUGUAAACGAUGCAGGCUAGGUGUUUGGACGGCCACGUGCCGCUCUAGUGCCGCAGGGAAGCUGUUAAGCCUGCCGCCUGGGGAGUACGAUCGCAAGAUUGAAACUUAAAGGAAUUGGCGGGGGAGCAC